rnacentral:rRNA from 1 species
GACGAACGCUGGUGGCGUGCUUAACACAUGCAAGUCGAACGCUGAAGCACCAGCUUGCUGGUGUGGAUGAGUGGCGAACGGGUGAGUAAUACGUGAGUAACCUGCCCUUGACUCUGGGAUAAGCCCGGGAAACUGGGUCUAAUACUGGAUGCUACAUGUCACCGCAUGGUGGUGUGUGGAAAGGGUUUACUGGUCUUGGAUGGGCUCACGGCCUAUCAGCUUGUUGGUGAGGUAAUGGCUCACCAAGGCGACGACGGGUAGCCGGCCUGAGAGGGUGACCGGCCACACUGGGACUGAGACACGGCCCAGACUCCUACGGGAGGCAGCAGUGGGGAAUAUUGCACAAUGGGCGAAAGCCUGAUGCAGCGGCGCCGCGUGAGGGAUGACGGCCUUCGGGUUGUAAACCUCUUUCAGCAGGGAAGAAGCCACAAGUGACGGUACCUGCAGAAGAAGCGCCGGCUAACUACGUG